UUCCCUUUUCGCUGAGACAAGCUAGCGGGAGCAGCUACGAUGGGGCGCUAGUCAUGCUGCAGUUUGGAGGAGCAUCUCCGCAACCAGCAGGGUCGGCAGCCAUACCUCCUCGCUGUUGGGCGUCAGAAGAGCAAGAUUGACAGCUUCUACAUCACCAUGGAUAAGCAUCUCAUCCCACGGCAGGCAAACCGCUCCCUACCUUGGGGCUUUCGACAAACUUUCCAAAACCUAUUUUGUGUUUAAUUUGUCGUACGAUGCUGCGUUACUGAAUUUUUACACAUUCUUGCAGACAACAGUGUAUAACAUUGAUGUGGGGAAAAUAAAGGAGUCACACUGCUUGA